rnacentral:rRNA from 1 species
AACGAACGCUGGCGGCAGGCCUAACACAUGCAAGUCGAGCGCCCCGCCAGGGGAGCGGCGGUCGGGUGAGUAACGCGUGGGAAUAUGCCCUUUGCUACGGAAUAGUCUCGGGAAACUGGGGGUAAUACCGUAUACGCCCUAUGGGGGAAAGAUUUAUCGGCGAAGGAUUAGCCCGCGUUGGAUUAGGUAGUUGGUGGGGUAAUGGCCUACCAAGCCGACGAUCCAUAGCUGGUUUGAGAGGAUGAUCAGCCACACUGGGACUGGGACACGGCCCAGACUCCUGCGGGAGGCAGCAGUGGGGAAUCUUAGACAAUGGGGGCAAUCCUGAUCUAGCCAUGCCGCGUGAGUGAUGAAGGCCUUAGGGUUGUAAAGCUCUUUCAGCUGGGAAGGUAAUGACGGUACCAGCAGAAGAAGCCCCGGCUAACUCCGUG